rnacentral:lncRNA from 1 species
GUCCACAAGAGAAUGCAACACGCAGUGAGAGCCUAAAACCUCUGAAGAAGAUACCUCGUCCUCCAUUACUCUCUAAACUCCGUGCAGGAGACACGGUGGGGCCUGGUGUCAGUGACAGACAGCUGAGCAGAGGCUGGCCGCAUUAUCAGCAACUCUCUGAAUGUGCUUCCCCAAAAGAAUAUUCCCAUCCCAGCAAAGGAAGCCAAGAUCCAGACACUCAUAAAGAAAAUCAACGAUGGACUAAGGGGAACCGUCUCCAGAAAGGUCUAAGUAAAAGAUGUGGUCGGAAGACACUGACUGGCAGACACUCGUGCCCCUGAGGAGGGGAGCCCGCACUAAAGGAUCUCCCGCUCUCACUGAGGGAGCGAGUACUACUGUGGAAAUCACUUCAGCCAGGAAGCUGUGCUGGCUGUCUGGACCAGAACUGCAGCCAAUGCCAGGAUGAUGGAGGCAACAGAAUCCCCCCAGGAGACUCAGGGUGUCCAGUGAGGCGUGGUCCAUGCAUGACAGAAGCCUCCCCACAGACACAGAUGAUGGGGUCACUUACAAUUCCAUGCUGGACGAGCCUGGGUUCCUGAGAAACAAGAGAGAGUGAGUGCCUCCUCCGUGUUCCCUGCCUGCAGUCUUCCAGUGUGUUGUGCCCCAUGCAUUCAGAGGAAUGAUGUGUUAAAUGAAAAUUAACAUGAUAUUAGCAUACCAGGAAAAAUCACACAUCUGUGAUUGUAGUACCCUCCACUCUUUCUGCUCCCCCGGCUCUGGACUGGUGGGCUGUAGAUGACACAGAAAGGUGUCUGUUUUGGGUUGGGAUACAGAUGCUUAUGUUUUAAAAGGGGAAAACAUGGGGCUUCCUUGACAGUCCAGUUGUUAAGACUUUGCCUCCCGACGCAGGAGGUGUGGGGUUGAUUCCUGGUCAGGGAGCUAAGAUUCCCAUACCUCGCUGCCAAAAAACCAAAACAAAACAGAAGCAAUAUUAUAACAAAUUCAAUAAAAACUUUAAAAAAAAAAAAA